AAAAAAAAAACCACCACAACUCACAACUCCAAGCGAAACACCCUGUAGCAGUCCUCCACCCCUGCGUCACCACCCCACCGUUUUAUCCGUGUACAGUUCGUACACAAUACUCACAAAACCCCUCAUCCUGAAGAGUUCGCUGUGAAAAUUGAAGAAAAUCCCACUCUUUCUUUCUAAACACUGAAAAACCUCCCAGCUCACCAAUGGAUCCGCUCUCAGCACUCCGCGACUUCACCAUCCGGGGUGACCUAGACAAAAUCAUCCGCAUCAACGACGAGUUCCGCUUCGGCAACGAAUACACCUUCCCUUGCUCAACUAAAACCGCUUACCGCUCCAAACAAGGCAAUCUCUACACACUAGAAACCCUAGUUUACUGCAUCCAAAACACCAAAAUCAAGUUCACCAAUUACCUCCAAGACGCCCUCGCUCUCGGCAUCCCCCCUGUCACUUACAUCGACUGGAAACCCGUCAAAGAAUACCUCUCCGGAAAACUCUCUUCUACCGACUCCAUAGUUUUCCCUCUCCCUCAAGAAUCUCAAAACCCUAAUCUUAAUUACCGCCCCGAUGAUCCUAUGCUUCUUGAUUCUCGAAUCGAUGAUUCCGCCGCCGCCGAUAAGGUGAACAAUGGGAAUGAGGGAGUUGAAAAUCACGUUUCUUUGAUUUACGCCAACGAGAGGCCGUUGAAGGAUAGGGAGUCGUUGUUGGAGUGUAAGAAUAGGGAUUUUUAUGGGGUUUUGGUUGCUUCCACGCGCCGUGAAGAGGAGAGGCAUAAAUUUGAGAGUCAACAGAGGAAAGAUGGGUUAGUGGCGAAGAGUAGGUUGAUGGGAGCUGAUGAGAGAGGAAUUGGGUAUGGUGGUGAUGAGUUGGGCUAUGAUUCAGCGGCCAAGCCCAAAAUGCAUUUGAAAGGAGGGAAAAUUGGGGAGGGGGUGCCCAUAAUUUUGGUGCCAAGUGCGUUUCAGACUUUGAUUACGAUUUAUAAUGUGAAGGAAUUUUUGGAAGAUGGGAUUUUCAUACCGACGGAUGUGAAGGCUAAGCAGAUGAAAGGGCCGAAACCGGAAUGUGUUACAGUGCAGAAGAAGUUUAGCACUGAUAGGAAUAGAGUGAUGACGGCUUAUGAGGUGCGGGAUAAGCCGUCUGCACUCAAGGGUGAUGACUGGGAUAGGGUUGUGGCAGUUUUUGUGCUGGGGAAGGAGUGGCAAUUCAAGGAUUGGCCCUUUAAGGAUCAUGUUGAGAUAUUUAAUAAAAUUAUUGGAUUUUUCAUGCGGUUUGAAGAUGAUAGUGUGGAGUCUGCUAAGAUUGUGAAGCAGUGGAAUGUAAAGAUUAUCUCGAUCAGCAAGAACAAGAGGCACCAGGAUAGGGCUGCAGCGUUGGAGGUGUGGGACCGACUAGAAGAAUUUGUGCGCUCACAAUCACACACUUGAAGUGUGCAGACUUUUAGAAGUGUGUCAAUGGAAACGAUUUCAUAACCAGCUACAAGCCAUUCAAAGUGCAGAGGCAUCGUGGAAGGAUGGAAUGCGUGCCAUGUCUGAAUAUGUGGAUGUCAUGGUCUCCUGUUGGUUUCAUUUUGUGCAAGUUAACUUUCAGUGGUUGUUUGCAGCUGCGAGCUGGAGACUUUGGUUUUUGGAUGAGUGGAUCUGAUAAUUUGUUAGACAGAAUUUACAACAGAAGGUUGAACCAUAUGAAGCGGCAAAGAGAAGGAAGAACAGUAAAGAGAUUGAGAAAUCCAAGGAGCUUCCACCUGAUGUUCCAUCUGUUUGUGUUGAUGGUACGGUUUUGGAUGCCGUUCCUACACCAGUGAAUGUCACCUUGAGCAGGUGAGGCAGCUGGAGAGGCACCUGUCCAAUACAAUGUUAUGAGUUGGCAUCAGAUCAGAAUGAAAAUUUUGAAAAUGUGCAGUGAUAUUUUCCUUCAUGUGAGAUUUCUUCUUUAUUUUAAUUCAUUCUCAUCCCUGACUGUCGUUCAGGGAGAUCUAGCAUCCAUUCUUUCAGAUUUUGGCUGAGUUUUGACAGGGAAACUCAAAGGAUAUAUAUAUUUUUUUAGCUACGAAGGAGAGUUUCAAACUUGAAACCUCUUGGGGGAGGAGGGGCGCUUUUGCCAAUUGAGCUGUAGCUCAUUGGCAAUUCAAAGAAAGUUGAGGUUGCAAAGAGAGAAGUAAAAUAAGUUCCAAGUUCCUUACCAUUGCAGCUGCUGAUAGGUGGAGUUUGCACAUUGCAAGCACCAGGUAAGGCUAUAGCCUGAGUUUUGUUGACAUUGAUCCCUAGUGAUGAGCCACCGCCAUUAAGAACCUGGCACAAGCACUGGGGUGAUGAGCGAACAACACUAGCUAGCUGAGUGCAGCAUUGUGAGGAUGGAGUUGAGGAGUUCCCUGUAAUGUAAUUAAGGCACGGUGACAUGCUGAUUAAAACAUUUGUACAAUCUGAUUGAGCCAUGGCUCCCGCCCAAAGCAUGGUCACCAGGACCAUGGCCAAACCCAUUGCCAUCGCUGUGUGGGCCAUUGAAUCUCUUCACUUAGGUAUUGGAAAUGCUCGUGGAAUGUGAAGAUCUCUUGUAACUAUUGAGUUUGAUUAGCUUGAUGGAACGGGGAGAAAAGGGUAUGGCAUUUAUAGGGAUCUGAUGCAAGAACAGGUAAAUUAGAAGAUCCGUUAUGUGGGUGACCAACUCUCCCUAAUUUCCAACGGUGGGCGUUUUAGUCAACUAGGCCAGCUUGGACCUCAAGCUGUUCCUACUCGGAGACCCUGGAAAUUUGCUGCGCGGCUUACAUGUGGAGUUCUGAAGGUCGGCUCUAUGGGUGAACAACUUCUACUGUCUGACGUGUCUUCUGGUACCAAGCAGCUUAGAUGCAUAAGCUGUUCAAAGCAGCAGACUUUUUUGUUCUUACAGACAUGCCCCAAGCAGAAAGCGUAACGUGUUUCUGACUCCACCUUUACAGGAAUUUGGCUCUGCACCUUUUCCUUUUUAGAAUAAAAGAGACGUGAUUUGAAAGCAGAAAAUUCUCGAGGAAGAUCACAGAAAUUGAUUGCCCUCUCUCAUGCUGGCAACUGUUGUUAAGACUCGUCUGCCUUCAAACCUAAGAAAAAGUGAGAGUUGUAUUCUUUCACUGUGAACGAGGAUCCAACCCUGUCUAGGAAAAAGUAUGGUGGCAUCUAUGCUUCUUCCUUGUGACCAAUGAAUUUUUAUAGCUCGAUACUAUUCUUACAAUGUGAGGUUUGGCGCUCUUGUGGAUCGCUUGGCUAUAUGAAAAAAUGUUAAACAUUGCUACUUAUUUAGAAGAUAGAAUUUGGGACAA